GCACCUGAACGUGGUCGUUCCACAAUGUGGACUUGCGAGACUAAAGUGGGCAUCACCUGCCUGAUUGUGAUUUGCGGGAGCGCAAACACGGUGGCCUUCGCAGCUGCCAUUCUGCAGUGGGAAGGACAACCAGAAGGGCAUGACGAUAAUGACGCACGCAUGUAAGACGCGGCCCAUCUUCCUCCUGAUCUUCCUGGGCCUG
rnacentral:lncRNA from 1 species